GGGGCAACUCUUCAAGAUGUUCUCCACUGCUUUCUGCAUGAAUGCUGGAGGGAGCCAGAGGUUCUUCCAACAGUGAAGCUGGUGACAGUCUCCACUAGAGAACUACAGACCAACCAAGCUGAUGGGGCCCGAGUGGCUCUUCUCUGAAGGACAAGAAGGGCCGGCGGUGAAGACCAAGACCCUGCUUUGUCGUGGAGGUCCAGAGCCCGGAGGGCGGGUGAUGAAGGCGCUGGGACUUUGAGAAGAACUCAGAUUGCCGCCAGGAGAGCUGGGAGACGGAAUGAGGCUCAUAAAAUACCGCAGGUCUCGUCUCCUCUUCUUGAGAGUCGAGUAAAGAACGAAGAGGGAAGAAAUCGGGUGUGAUGCCCGCCUCGCCCAAUUUAGGGAGGUUGAAGGUUCCUGGAGGCAAGGCUGGGUCGAGAGGUGAGAGAUGAAGAAACCAGAAAGGUUAAUAUGGUCCCAGUUACUGAGAGCCCCACUUGUUCAUUCUUCCGCAUUCCACAAGUGGUGGGCACCUUGCCAAAAUCCAGGACCGCAGACCUUACUCUCAAGACUCCCAGAACCUCAAAGUCACCCUUCAAUUGAAGAAUCCCACAUCGCUUCUCUACAUUGUCUAAACCUACAGCCUUCAAAUUGGGGAACAGGAAAACCUUCCAAAAAGUUGAGACUUGAGAUAUAAAGAAUUUAAUUUCCAGAUCCUCGAUUUUCCUGAAACUGGUCUUCCUAAAUAGACGCGGACUUUAGAUUCCCCCUUUCCCCUUCCUUUUCCUGAUGGACCUUCUUCCUCUUAAAAAGAAAAAAAAAAAAAAAA